GGAACCGAUGACUCGAGCAGAUUUGUCAUAGAUUAAGAACCAAGUGCUGGUGGUGCCCUGGUCGAUUGAGUCGAUGUAAAUUUCUCCCGCCAUUUUUGUUCUUCUCGGUUGUUUGUCAACUUAGAUGCAGAGAUUAAACAAAGGAGUAAAAGA